rnacentral:rRNA from 1 species
GCAGUCGCCGCGGUAAUACGUAGGGUGCAAGCGUUAAUCGGAAUUACUGGGCGUAAAGCGUGCGCAGGCGGUUUGUUAAGACAGAUGUGAAAUCCCCGGGCUCAACCUGGGAACUGCAUUUGUGACUGGCAAGCUAGAGUGUGGCAGAGGGGGGUGGAAUUCCGCGUGUAGCAGUGAAAUGCGUAGAUAUGCGGAGGAACACCGAUGGCGAAGGCAGCCCCCUGGGCCAACACUGACGCUCAUGCACGAAAGCGUGGGGAGCAAACAGGAUUAGAUACCCCAGUAGUCCCUGUCUCUUAUAC